rnacentral:rRNA from 1 species
GAUGAACGCUGGCGGCGUGCCUAAUACAUGCAAGUCGAGCGAACGGACGAGAAGCUUGCUUUUCUGAUGUUAGCGGCGGACGGGUGAGUAACACGUGGAUAACCUACCUAUAAGACUGGGAUAACUUCGGGAAACCGGAGCUAAUACCGGAUAAUAUUUUGAACCGCAUGGUUCAAAAGUGAAAGACGGUCUUGCUGUCACUUAUAGAUGGAUCCGCGCUGCAUUAGCUAGUUGGUAAGGUAACGGCUUACCAAGGCAACGAUGCAUAGCCGACCUGAGAGGGUGAUCGGCCACACUGGAGCUGAGACACGGUCCAGACUCCUACGGGAGGCAGCAGUAGGGAAUCUUCCGCAAUGGGCGAAAGCCUGACGGAGCAACGCCGCGUGAGUGAUGAAGGUCUUCGGAUCGUAAAACGCUGUUAUUAGGGAAGAACAUAUGUGUAAGUAACUGUGCACAUCUUGACGGUACCUAAUCAGAAAGCCACGGCUAACUACGU